GAUGAACGCUGGCGGCGUGCCUAAUACAUGCAAGUCGAGCGAACGGACGAGAAGCUUGCUUCUCUGAUGUUAGCGGCGGACGGGUGAGUAACACGUGGAUAACCUACCUAUAAGACUGGGAUAACUUCGGGAAACCGUAGCUAAUACCGGAUAAUAUUUUGAACCGCAUGGUUCAAAAGUGAAAGACGGUCUUGCUGUCACUUAUAGAUGGAUCCGCGCUGCAUUAGCUAGUUGGUAAGGUAACGGCUUACCAAGGCAACGAUGCAUAGCCGACCUGGGAGAGUGAUCGGCCACACUGGAACUGAGACACGGUCCAGACUCCUACGGGAGGCAGCAGUAGGGAAUCUUCCGCAAUGGGCGAAAGCCUGACGGAGCAACGCCGCGUGAGUGAUGAAGGUCUUCGGAUCGUAAAACUCUGUUAUUAGGGAAGAACAUAUGUGUAAGUAACUGUGCACAUCUUGACGGUACCUAAUCAGAAAGCCACGGCUAACUACGUG
rnacentral:rRNA from 1 species